UUGGAAUAAGAAACGUUAGAAACAUAGGUGAACGACUAUGGGAUACUAGGAUUUAACGAUUGCGACAUCUGAAGAAUGAAAUGUGGUGAACGACUAAAGAAAAAGAAGAUAAACAAGUUCUCAUUUUAAAUUAUAAUUUAAUAAAGCAAAAAAUAAGCCAAUAUAAGAAUUCAUGGUUUCAAAAAUUACCUUAUUCAAUUUUUUGUGACAUCAAUGACUUGAAGGUAAAAGAAGGCUUUUAUUAGAAUACGAAACGCUAAAACUAUAAAUGAACGAUUGUGUGAUACUUGGAUUUAAUGAUUGCGACAUUUGAAGAAUGAAAUGUGGUGAACAACUGAAGAAAAAGAAGAAUCUAAGAAGCU
rnacentral:lncRNA from 1 species